UGGGGAAUAUUGGACAAUGGGGGCAACCCUGAUCCAGCCAUGCCGCGUGUGUGAAGAAGGCCUUUUGGUUGUAAAGCACUUUAAGCAGUGAAGAAGACUCCAUGGUUAAUACCCAUGGACGAUGACAUUAGCUGCAGAAUAAGCACCGGCUAACUCUGUGCCAGCAGCCGCGGUCAUACAGAGGGUGCAAGCGUUAAUCGGAAUUACUGGGCGUAAAGCGAGCGUAGGUGGCUUGAUAAGUCAGAUGUGAAAGCCCCGGGCUUAACCUGGGAACGGCAUCUGAUACUGUUAGGCUAGAGUAGGUGAGAGGAAGGUAGAAUUCCAGGUGUAGCGGUGAAAUGCGUAGAGAUCUGGAGGAAUACCGAUGGCGAAGGCAGCCUUCUGGCAUCAUACUGACACUGAGGUUCGAAAGCGUGGGUAGCAAACA
rnacentral:rRNA from 1 species